UAAAUAUGGGCUAGGUGUUCGAUCAACUGCCUUUAGAAGUCAGACAUCUAGUGGAGAGCAGAGCUCUCCUGGUGGUGGUGGCGAGGACCAUAUAAUUGAGGGUUGUUAUCUAGGCCAUGAGUCUUUUGCCACGGUAGGCUCAUCCGACCUGGCCUCACCAGCAUUGAAUAAUACACCAUCUGCUUCAGAUCAGAGUGUAGGGGCCUCUGCUCUGCCUCAGAACAGAAACGGUGAUGAGCAGCCACCGCCAGACAGAUCAUUAUCUGAUAUGGAGGUAGGCUCAUCCGACCUGGCCUCACCAGCAUUGAAUAAUACACCAUCUGCUUCAGAUCAGAGUGUAGGGGCCUCUGCUCUGCCUCAGAACAGAAACGGUGAUGAGCAGCCACCGCCAGACAGAUCAUUAUCUGAUAUGGAGGUAGGCUCAUCCGACCUGGCCUCACCAGCAUUGAAUAAUACACCAUCUGCUUCAGAUCAGAGUGUAGGGGCCUCUGCUCUGCUUCAGAACAGAGACGGUGAUGAGCAGCCACCGCCAGACAGAUCAUUAUCUGAUCUGGAGCGCGGAGUAGCCCCUCCAGCUGAAAGACAGCUCAAUCCUUCAAGUGUGGCCCAGAUAUGCCUCCCCCUCAGUUGUGGGGUGUGUAUCGCUC
rnacentral:lncRNA from 1 species